GAUGAACGCUGGCGGCGUGCUUAACACAUGCAAGUCGAACGAAGCGAUUAAACGGAAGUUUUCGGAUGGAAGUUUAAUUGACUUAGUGGCGGACGGGUGAGUAACGCGUGGGUAACCUGCCUCAUACAGGGGGAUAACAGUUGGAAACGACUGCUAACACCGCAUGAAACGGUAGUGUCGCAUGACACAAUCGUCAAAUAUUUAUAGGUAUGAGAUGGGCCCGCGUCUGAUUAGCUAGUUGGUGGGGUAAUGGCCUACCAAGGCAACGAUCAGUAGCCGGCUUGAGAGAGUGACCGGCCACAUUGGGACUGAGACACGGCCCAAACUCCUACGGGAGGCAGCAGUGGGGAAUAUUGCACAAUGGGCGAAAGCCUGAUGCAGCGACGCCGCGUGAGUGAAGAAGUAUUUCGGUAUGUAAAGCUCUAUCAGCAGGGAAGAUAAUGACAGUACCUGACUAAGAAGCCCCGGCUAACUACGUGCCAGCCGCCGCAGUAACAC
rnacentral:rRNA from 1 species